rnacentral:rRNA from 1 species
GUYUUUUUGAAUUUAAUUUGAAGUUUAACCUGCCCAUUGAUAAAUUUAAAAGGCUGCAGUAUUUUAACUGUACAAAGGUAGCAUAAUCAUUAGUUUUUUAAUUGAAAACUUGUAUGAAUGGUUGAAUGAAAUAUUUACUUUUUUUAUUUAAUAAGUUGAAUUUUACUUUUAAAUUAAAAGGUUUAAAUAAAUUAAAAAGACGAGAAGACCCUAUAGAGUUUUAUAUUUAUAAAUAUUAUUAUUUUAUUGUUUAAAUAUAUAAAUAAAUAAUAUUAAUAAAUAUUUUAUUGGGGUGAUAGAAAAAUUUAAUAAACUUUUAUUAAUUAUAACAUUAAUUUAUGAAUAUUUGAUCCAAUAUUAUUGAUUAAAAAAUUAAAUUACCUUAGGGAUAACAGCGUAAUUUUUUUUUUAAGUUCAAAUUAAUAAAAAAUUUUACGACCUCGAUGUUGGAUUAAGAUUAAUUUUAGGUGUAGCAGUUUAAAAUUUAAGUCUGUUCGACUUUUAAUUUCUU